rnacentral:tRNA from 2 species
GCCCUCUUAGCUCAGCUGGUAGAGCGCAUCCAUGGUAAGGAUGAGGUCACCAGUUCAAUCCUGGUAGAGGGCU